GUGUCAGCCGCCGCGGUAAUACAGAGGUGCCGAGCGUUAGGCGGAAUCACUGGGCUUAAAGCGUGUGUAGGCGGAUGCCUAAGUACCUUGUGAAAUCCCCCGGCUUAACCGGGGAACUGCUUGGUAUACUGGGUGUCUUGAGCCACUUAGGGGCGACCGGAACAAACGGUGGAGCGGUGAAAUGCGUAGAUAUCGUUUGGAACGCCAAUGGUGAAAACAGGUCGCUGGGAGUGUGCUGACGCUGAGACACGAAAGCCAGGGGAGCGAACGGGAUUAGAAACCCGCGUAGUCC
rnacentral:rRNA from 1 species